rnacentral:rRNA from 1 species
UACGAAGGGGGCUAGCGUUGCUCGGAAUCACUGGGCGUAAAGGGUGCGUAGGCGGGUCUUUAAGUCAGGGGUGAAAUCCUGGAGCUCAACUCCAGAACUGCCCUUUGAUACUGAGGAUCUUGAGUUCGGGAGAGGUGAGUGGAACUGCGAGUGUAGAGGUGAAAUUGUAGAUAUUCGCAAGAACACCAGUGGCGAAGGCGGCUCACUGGCCCGAUACUGACGCUGAGGCACGAAAGCGUGGGGAGCAAACAGG